AGAGUGAGUGAGGAUGAUGGACUGGGAGAGAGUGAGUGAGGAAGUGAUGGACUGGGGAGAGAGUGAGUGAGGAAGUGAUGGACUGGGGAGAGAGUGAUGAGAAGUGAUGGACUGGGGAGAGAAGGCAAAGAGGAGCAUCCGGCAUAACACCACAGCCAGCCACCCCCUCCACAAGAGACGAAGGGCGUCCAAGAGCCAAGUGAACAGCAGCUCAGACUGCACCAGACGGAGGUCUUUCAGAAACACACACUUACUCUGGCAGACCUGUGGUGCAGAAGUCUGUAGGCUGUAUAAAGCUGUGUGGGAAUAGGUCUGUCACAUCCAUUCUAAAGCUGUCGGUCAGAGAGAGAGCCAAUGUUGUUCAGUGCAUUCGAAAAGUAUUCAAAGCCCUUGAAUUUUUCCACAUUUUGUUAAGCCACAGCCUUAUUGUAAAAUGGAUUACAUCGUUUCCCCCCCUCAAUCUACACACAAUAYCCCAUAUUGACAAAGCWAAAACUGUUUUUUAGAAAUGUUUGCAAAUGGUAAAAUAAAAACUAUCACAUUUA